GGCGGCAGUUGUGCCGGGGCUGGUGUCGCUGAUCGUGGUGCCACUGCUGCUCUAUGUCGUGUAUCCACCGACGGUGAAGAGCAGCCCCAAUGCUCCAAAGCUGGCGAGGGAGAAGUUGCAGAUGAUGGGGCCGAUGAGCAGGAAUGAGAUCAUCAUGGCUGCUACCUUGCUCUUGACAGUGAGUCUCUGGGUACUUGGAGGAAAGCUG
rnacentral:misc_RNA from 1 species